GAUGAACGCUGGCGGCGUGCCUAAUACAUGCCAGUAGAACGCUGAAGGAGGAGCUUGCUCUUCUGGAUGAGUUGCGAACGGGUGAGUAACGCGUAGGUAACCUGCCUGGUAGCGGGGGAUAACUAUUGGAAACGAUAGCUAAUACCGCAUGACAACAGUUAUUGCAUGAUAACUGUUUAAAAGGGGCAACUGCUCCACUACCAGAUGGACCUGCGUUGUAUUAGCUAGUUGGUGAGGUAACGGCUCACCAAGGCGACGAUACAUAGCCGACCUGAGAGGGGGAUCGGCCACACUGGGACUGAGACACGGCCCAGACUCCUACGGGAGGCAGCAGUAGGGAAUCUUCGGCAAUGGACGGAAGUCUGACCGAGCAACGCCGCGUGAGUGAAGAAGGUUUUCGGAUCGUAAAGCUCUGUUGUAAGAGAAGAACGAGUGUGAGAGUGGAAAGUUCACACUGUGACGGUAUCUUACCAGAAAGGGACGGCUAACUACGUG
rnacentral:rRNA from 1 species